rnacentral:lncRNA from 1 species
CACCUUAGGCUGCUCCCAUCCCUUGGCUAAAGAAAAUAAUUCUGACUCCACUCAGUUUUCUUUAACUGUUCAGUUGUCAUCUGAGAAAACCUCCCCUCUUCACAUUACAGCAGCUAAAGGAAUACUUGGAAUACCAAAGUAUUUUUUCGCAGUGAUUUCUUUUUAUCAUCUUGAUUCUCCAGUAAUUCAAAUUUGGAUCCGUCUGGUCUCAGGAUUGGAAAGCGACUCUCUGAGCAGAUCAAAUAUGUUUCUAAAAGUUCCAUUCUUCAUCUUCCUCAUCGGGAGCCUGCCUUUGGUAGCACUUGCUCAAGAAGCAAGCUCAGUUCUAGAAGGAGAAGAAAGUGCAACAAUUGAUUUCAGAGACAGAAAUGACACAGAAUUUGAAGAAUUUCCAACAAUUUUUGGAGAACUGAAGACCACAGAAAGUUCCUUCAUCCUGGAUGGAGAAAGUGAAAAUGCUACUGCUUAUGAAGUUAACACAGAAAGUGUUGAUGGUGAACGGAGUGGGGAACCAGAGAAAACUGAUGAAGGUGGUCUGGGAACAAUUGCACUGCUUGGAAUAAUUAUUGGAAUCAUUGUUGCAGUUGGAAUCCUUGCAGGAAUAAUAAUUGCAGUUGUAAGGAAGAUGUCAGGCAGGCCCUAAACACAGUUGAAACAAGCAACCAUGCCAUUCCAUGCUGGAAAAUAUAAGUGCUUCUUAUUUCAUACAAACUAAAGACUAUUCCUGUAUUUGUGUGAGAAGAUGAUCCAUGGAAAAUAUAGUCAAGAAAUUUCCGAUCUAUGGGGAUACCACACAAUUCUAAGGACCACCCUCACACCCCCCCGCUUGCACAGAGCAUGGAAUAUUUCAUAGGAUUUUUUAUUAACCAGAAUUUAACUAGAAGAAAAAGAUAUUGCAGUAAAAAAAAACCCUCCAGUAAAGAGAUGUACAUCUGAAAUGUGAUUUGCAGGUAUUAUAUGCUUGGGUUUUAAAUGCUACCAAAGAUUAUUUCACAUUACAUGAUAUGUAUUCUUUUAAAACAAAAAGUGGUUUUGCCUGGUUAAGUGCCCCUGGCAUGUUUAUCUACCACAUGAUGUAUCAAAAAGAAGGAAUUAGCUUCAGUGAGAACCAGUUAUUUACAAAGUAGAAAAAUACUGGAUAUUGAAAGCUAAAAUCUUUCCACUGCUGAUACAGAUUUUCUGCUCUUGAUAUUUAUGUUAUUUUGUGGCAAAAUAUGGUAGGUCUGGCUGGAACUGACCCACCAACUGAAAGCUUGCUCGUCUGACUGUGGCAUCAGGAAUUUCCUGCCUUCUCUUGUUGCAGAGACAUGCAGGAAUUGAAAUACACAUCCUGAAUUAAGGGGUGCUUGGAAAAUACCCAGUUUUGAUGGGUCACUUUAGAGCUGACGUGUAGAAGCUUUUGAAUUAGUGUACACUGUGUUUUCUCAUUGUGCCUGUCCCAUUUUCUGACUGUACAGCUGAUUUGUUUGACAACAUGUGCAACACCAGGUCGGAAUGUGUCACUGAGGGGUGAUGCAGCUUUGGAGUCUGCAGCUUUUCUGGGGCAUAUUUAGAGCAGCACAACCUGAAUGUACAGAGCUCAGAGCAAAGGCUUUGCAUGUCAAGUGACUGCAGUGCAUCAGGUUCCCUAAAUGCUAUGACACUUUAGUGUUUGGUGUAAAAAUCAUGAUAAUCAAUAUCAUCACCCAUUGCUAAAUUUGUCAGCUUAUCUGUGUUUGCUUUUUUUGUUAAUUUCAUGUGCCUUGAACUAUCAUAUCAAUGCAAGCUUUGGAAAUAAAAAUGAUAAUAUAAACUGUAUUAUUUUACA